rnacentral:tRNA from 1 species
ACAUUGGUGGGCCAGUGGUAGAAUUCUCGCCUUCCACGCAGGAGACCUGGGUUCAAUUCCCAGCCGAUACA